CAGUAGCCGCGGUAAUACGUAGGGUGCGAGCGUUAAUCGGAAUUACUGGGCGUAAAGCGUGCGCAGGCGGUUAUAUAAGACAGAUGUGAAAUCCCCGGGCUCAACCUGGGACCUGCAUUUGUGACUGUAUAGCUAGAGUACGGUAGAGGGGGAUGGAAUUCCGCGUGUAGCAGUGAAAUGCGUAGAUAUGCGGAGGAACACCGAUGGCGAAGGCAAUCCCCUGGACCUGUACUGACGCUCAUGCACGAAAGCGUGGGGAGCAAACAGGAUUAGAGACCCCAGUAGUCCCUGUCUCUUAUAC
rnacentral:rRNA from 1 species